rnacentral:rRNA from 1 species
AGAGUUUGAUCCUGGCUCAGAUUGAACGCUGGCGGCAUGCCUUACACAUGCAAGUCGAACGGCAGCACGGGAGCAAUCCUGGUGGCGAGUGGCGAACGGGUGAGUAAUGUAUCGGAACGUACCUUUCAGUGGGGGAUAACGUAGCGAAAGUUACGCUAAUACCGCAUAUUCUGUGAGCAGGAAAGCAGGGGAUCGCAAGACCUUGCGCUGAUUGAGCGGCCGAUAUCAGAUUAGCUAGUUGGUGAGGUAAAGGCUCACCAAGGCGACGAUCUGUAGCGGGUCUGAGAGGAUGAUCCGCCACACUGGAACUGAGACACGGUCCAGACUCCUACGGGAGGCAGCAGUGGGGAAUUUUGGACAAUGGGGGCAACCCUGAUCC